rnacentral:sRNA from 2 species
GACCCCGUCUUUGGGGAGUAGCCUUCCUUCCGCUCAUGGGAGGAGAACGCGUCAACAUCCUCGGCUUUUCUGCCGUGGCGCGUUCGGCCGGUCAGGUCUGGCGAGACCAUCGAUGCAUCGUGUCGUUCCUGGUCGGACGGCGCGUGGUGCAUCGUGGUUCGCAGACGUCCGACC